GGUCUAGUUGGUUAUGACGGCGCCUUAACACGGCGCAGGUCGGCGGUUCGAUCCCGCC
rnacentral:tRNA from 1 species